AAUAAAUCAAAACUUUUUACAACGGAUCUUUUUUGUUCUGGCUCGUGUAGAAGUAAACCACAAUCAAUCGUAAUAAGGAAAUUAGAAAAUCCCGGAAAUAUCGGAAUUUUAAAAGCCCCCUUCCCCCCCCCCCGGAUUUUUGGCGGCGGCUGGUUCGU
rnacentral:rRNA from 1 species